ensembl:lncRNA
AGGCUCCAUGCACCGGGAGCCCGAUGUGGGAUUCAAUCCCGGGUCUCCAGGAUCGUGCCCUGGGCCAAAGGCAGGCGCCAAACCGCUGCACCACCCAGGGAUCCCCUAAUAUUAGCUUUUUAGUAGUUUGUUUUGGUAUAAUAACUGUAACCAUUUAGGAAAUCUCUCUGCCAUAAUCAAAGGACAAGCAAGUUGUAAGCAGAUACACUGUGGUCUUUUUUCAUAGCUAAUGCCUUCUCAGGGAAAUAUGUAAUUAGAAUUAAGCUUGGGCACAGAGCUAUUGUUUUGUAUUUUCAUGCUUUGUGUGUUUGAGGGAAAGAAUCUCCAACUCACUGGGGAGAACACAUGGUCCCAACCAUAGGGAAGAAAAUAAAACUCUGACUUUUAAAGGGACAGCCAUGAUUGAAGCAAGAGGCAGCUGGCAUUGUCAACUGAAGGGCAACCAGUUUAUCAGCAGUGUGACCAUAGCUGCCAUUGCUGGGGCAUCCUAGCAGAGAACACGUGUGAAAAUGAUCACUUUUCUUAAGAAUUUGUAAGUAAGAAAAUAAAUUCCCCAUACCAAUAAACUAGUACAAAUGCAGGAGAGGCUGGUUCAAAAUUGGGAUAAUCAGGUGGCAUCAUUUGGAAUAGAGAAGAUUUUAAAUUGGCAAAGGGACAAACAUGCAAUGCUGAGACCACUAUUCUCUUUCAGUUUCAGAACUACUAGAUUUUCAUCCACGGUUCAUUUCGUGCUUAUCUGUAUUUUGCAGCACAUACCUCCCCCUAUCAAAAGUGACUUCAAAACAAACACAUGCAACGGUCGUUUUGCAAAGCUACAGAAGGAAGACAUUGGAGAGUUCAUAUGCUAUUUUAGCUGGCUCUGUGAUUGCAAUCACACAAAUCACUACAUUCCAGAGAGAUCCCAUGAACAGAAGGUUUUUCCAUUUUCAGUCUUUCAAGGUUAUGGAACAAUUUUUCCUAGAGCUGCUGGUGGACAGAUAUUCUGUGUUGUCUUUGCUGCAAUUGGAAUCCCUCUAAGUAUCAUAUGCUUUAAAUAG